CAGCUCUCAGUUUUGUGCCCGUCUUAUUGCCGCUCUCAUUGUCUUUGUCGGCAGUGAUAAAGAGAGCAGUUCAUUCGGGGGCCUGUUUUUGGAAUAAGAAAAAGGCAUUGCUGUUUUCUGACUUUGAGUGAAGAAAGAAGGGACUCCUCUGGAAUUUCCUAAGGAAUUUAUUCGGACAGCCCAUGUUGCGAGGGCUUUGCAUUCUUCCGCCUGGGUAUAGAGUAAGUAGUACUUUUUCUUUUCGUAUUCUGUCAAUUGCAGCCGAGAGCGGCUCGUCAUGUUUUCCAUGUGUGGAAUAAAGUGUCGUUUUUUUCUGUGUCCGCUCCAAGUUCUGUGUCGUGCCGCGAUGUGAGUAGGAGCCCGGGGUGUUUUUUUUUUUAAAUUUCAUUUUUUUGCACAUCUUUGCUUUGGAGGGAUGUUGUGGAGAAUGUGGCGCAAACGCAACGUGCACCGGGCUGCCGCUCGCUGUUACACUCCAGAUGGCGGCGAGAUAUUUAACAGAAUUUAUAUCGUCAACAUUUAUAACACGUACUGCGCUCACACGGACACACAAAAUAGAAAUAGAGAGAGAGACAGGGGGAGAGAGCCAUCUUUGCCCCGAACGAUGCUCUGCCCGCUCCGGAGGAUGCGCGGGCACGCAUAAACAAGCUGGAAAUGUGUGCGUGUGUGUUAAGGGGGGGUUAUUCUGUGCCAUAGUUGUGGGACGUGUUGAGAAAGUUUGGUGUAAUAUUUGCUUCUGCAAACUGAGACGAUUUGCUUAGUCUAUCUAUGAAUGCAUGCGUGCGUGCGUGUGUGCGCGCGCGUUGAUGCGUGCCCAAGAGCUCCUGACUCAGGUGGUGUAGCCGGUGGGUGGGCUGUGACUCACCCAGUUUACCCAUUUUGCUGCUGUUAUCUGACAGGCUUUGAUGCCAGAUUUGACUGGUGACUGACAGUGGCUCAUGCGCAGUAGUGUGUCAGGACAUGCCUGUGUUUUUUGUUUUGUUUUUUUUUAUUUUUUUAUUUCCUCCCUCCAUCACUGCCUGAUUUGGGCGUUCCAUAAUUUAUGCGAUCCCUUUCCUGCGUUAAAGAGUUUUUCUUUUUUUCAGACUACUACUGACAAGUGAUUCAUAUAUAGCCAAUUACCCGUGAUUUGCACUCAUACUUUGCAGCCCGAGGGAAAAAAAAGAAAAGUGGAAAGCCUCUAAAAAGCAAGAUAAUGAAGUGAAAAGUUUGUGGUUCCUCGGUAUUUUGUAGCAAAGAGAAGCAUUCGCAAAUGAGGGCAAGGACAGCCAGUCAGAGAGAUGUGUCUUCGCUGGCUAGUGUAGAGUGACAGGGGGCUAAGUGAGCAUGACCAUCAAGGAGAGGUAAUAGCAUUACGGUCUGCCAGUCAUGAGGCAGUGCAAGAGAUACUGUUGCAUUUCAAAAGGAACUAAAUGGGUAAGCAGAGGAAACUGUGACACAGGGUCCACUAAAAUGUAACGCAUAAAAAAGGCACUAAUGUGGCUCAGCAACACAGUUUUUAUUCAUGCAGAUGAGUUUG
ensembl:lncRNA